rnacentral:snRNA from 15 species
AAGCGUGUUAACUGAAUGUGAGGCCUUGUUCUGAAGACCCUUUUCACAAUUUUUGGCAGGCUUAACCGAAGUUAGGCCUU